GACGAACGCUGGCGGCGUGCUUAACACAUGCAAGUCGAACGGUGAACCAGGGCUUGCCCUGGGGAUCAGUGGCGAACGGGUGAGUAACACGUGGGCAACCUGCCCCUGACUCUGGGAUAACUCCUCGAAAGAGGUGCUAAUACCGGAUACGACCACUUCGGGCAUCCGAUGGUGGUGGAAAGAAUUUGGUCAGGGAUGGGCCCGCGGCCUAUCAGCUUGUUGGUGGGGUAACGGCCCACCAAGGCGACGACGGGUAGCCGGCCUGAGAGGGCGACCGGCCACACUGGGACUGAGACACGGCCCAGACUCCUACGGGAGGCAGCAGUGGGAAAUAUUGCGCAAUGGGCGAAAGCCUGACGCAGCGACGCCGCGUGAGGGACGACGGCC
rnacentral:rRNA from 1 species